GACGAACGCUGGCGGCGUGCUUAACACAUGCAAGUCGAACGGAAAGGCCCUGCUUUUGUGGGGUGCUCGAGUGGCGAACGGGUGAGUAACACGUGAGUAACCUGCCCUUGACUUUGGGAUAACUUCAGGAAACUGGGGCUAAUACCGGAUAGGAGCUCCUGCUGCAUGGUGGGGGUUGGAAAGGUUCGGCGGUUGGGGAUGGACUCGCGGCUUAUCAGCUUGUUGGUGGGGUAGUGGCUUACCAAGGCUUUGACGGGUAGCCGGCCUGAGAGGGUGACCGGCCAGAUUGGGACUGAGAUACGGCCCAGAGUCGUACGGGAGGCAGCAGUGGGGAAUAUUGCACAAUGGGCGGAAGCCUGAUGCAGCAACGCCGCGUGCGGGAUGACGGACUUCGGGGUGGAAACCGCUUUCGCCUGUGACGAAGCGUGAGUGACGGUAAUGGGUAAAGAAGCACCGGCUAACUACGUG
rnacentral:rRNA from 1 species